UUGUUUUAUUUGUUUUAUUGUUGAGGGAUACGUCUGCUGCAGGUAGCUCGGUAGCAUUGGAGGACCAGGUCCUGCACCGUUAACAAACAAACAGGACAUCACAGACUGCUGUGGGAAACCCGAUCUGAUUGUGUGAGUAGGGUGUGUGGGGAAAUAAGCGGGAACACAUCGGGUCACUAGAGCCGCCGCUGCGAAGGCGGCUUCGGUGUCAGCAGUGGCAGCUCUGCCAUUGGGAAGUGGCUGCUAGGGAGUCUCAUAAAUGGUCACACUGGGAAGUUUCCUUAACAUUUCUGCUGUCACUGAAGUCGGUUAUAAAAUUCCCGUUCUUUUGUACAUAGAAUCAGGCUAAAACAGAGGACUGGUUAAAAAAAAAAAAAGCCUACCCCGCUUUAAAUUUGUUACAUUCUAAGUAGCCCCUCACUCGCGCCCAAGCGCUCUUGACCACCCACAGAAAAAGGGCGGUGCCCUCGAAAGAGAUGCAGCGACACGGAGAGGGGAAUGCAGGGGCUUCCGCUUCCGGCGGCCGAGUGACGGCGGCAGAGCACGGCCGCACUGCGCGGCCGUGCUGGGCGGGAGGCAGGGGAAGAUGCGGUCGCCGGCGCUGCCGCGGCUGCUGGUGGGGCCGCUGCUGAUGUUGCUGGUGCUGCUAGAAGCCGCCCGCUGCAAGGAGGCUGCAGCCCCGCGCCCCCCGGACGCCACCACCGCUUCCCCGCGCCCAACGGAGGCGCCCGGCGGGGCCGCCACGCGAAGCAGCAGCAACAGUAGCAGCAGCAGCCGCCUGGCCGAGGUGUCGGCGCCGCCCGAGCAGGGCCAGCCUAUGACCCAGCGCGCCCUGUCCGUGCUGGUGCUGUCCAGCGCCGCCCUCAUCGUCUACUUCGUGAUCCGGACCGUGCGACUCAGAAGGCAAAACAGAAAAACCCGAAGAUAUGGAGUUUUGGAUACGAACAUAGAAAACAUGGAGCUGACCCCAUUAGAACAAGAUGAUGAUGAUGAUGAUACAACACUAUUCGAUGCCAGCCAUCCUCGACGUUGGAGAAGGGAUGUCAAGAUCACUUGAAUUUUACAUGGGCAAGAAUUUAGUGGGCAAGAAGAUAAACACCAUUUGUCUUCAACAUGUGAGUCUCAGAGAAAUGGAGAGGAAGAGAAGUACGUGCCUUUCAAUGAAAGAACUUAAUCUUAGAACCAGAGAAGGAGACUGCUUCAUGGGAGAAAUAAGAAGCAAGAGGGUAUGCAAGUGGGGGGGAACUAAUUUAAUUUGUGUAUUUUAUGGCAUCCUUAAUAUCUUGCAAUAAGUAAUGUAUCAAUUUGUUGUAUCUUUUUUGUAUAUAGAGAUUCUCAAUGUAUAGCCUAUGGGGAGAGAGUACUAACUGCACUAAGAUAAAAACCUAUUUGAAAGGCAGAUUACUUGUAAAACAGGGUAUUUUUUGCUUGUUACAAGUCUUGUAUGCCAUUAAGUGUGGUGUACACUUUUUUUCUACAGUAACCUGGAAUGUUAAUUUUUUCUUCUGAUAUUAAAUUGUAAGUAAAUAAAGCCACUGUGGACUUCUCAGAAUUGGUAGAACAUGAUUUUAAUUGAGGAGAUGAUUUACUGUUUACCAAUAAAAAGCUAAACCACUG